UCGAAACAAAGUAGAUAAACCUGAAGGUUUAUCUAAA
rnacentral:rRNA from 1 species